UACGUAGGAAGCGAGCGUUGUCCGGAUUUACUGGGCGUAAAGGGCGUGUAGGCGGAGCGGCGCAUCCUGGAGUAAAUCUAUCGGCUCAACUGAUAGGCUUUCUAGGGGAUGGCCGCCCUUGAGGACAGCAGAGGAAAGUGGAAUUCCCGGUGUAGCGGUGAAAUGCGUAGAUAUUGGGAAGAACACCUGAGGCGAAGGCGGGUUGCUGGGCCGACACUGACGCUGAGGCGCGAAAGCCAGGGGAGCGAACGGG
rnacentral:rRNA from 1 species